UGGGGAAUAUUGCGCAAUGGGCGAAAGCCUGACGCAGCAACGCCGCGUGAGCGAUGAAGGCCCUCGGGUUGUAAAGCUCUGUUGGAAGGAAAGAUGGGUCUAAGAGUUAAUACCUCUUAGAUUUGACGGUACCUUCAAAGAAAGCACCGGCUAACUCUGUGCCAGCAGCCGCGGUAAUACAGAGGGUGCAAGCGUUGUUCGGAAUCAUUGGGCGUAAAGCGCGCGUAGGCGGCCAAAUAAGUCUGAUGUGAAAGCCCAGGGCUCAACCCUGGAAGUGCAUCGGAAACUGUUUGGCUCGAGUCCCGGAGGGGGUGGUGGAAUUCCUGGUGUAGAGGUGAAAUUCGUAGAUAUCAGGAGGAACACCGGUGGCGAAGGCGACCACCUGGACGGUGACUGACGCUGAGGUGCGAAAGCAUGGGUAGCAAACAGG
rnacentral:rRNA from 1 species